AUUGAACGCUGGCGGCAGGCUUAACACAUGCAAGUCGAGCGGAGAUGAGGUGGUUGCACCUUAUCUAGCGGCGGACGGGUGAGUAAUGCUUAGGAAUCUGCCUAUUAGUGGGGGACAACAUUCCGAAAGGAAUGCUAAUACCGCAUACGUCCUACGGGAGAAAGCAGGGGAUCUUCGGACCUUGCGCUAAUAGAUGAGCCUAAGUCGGAUUAGCUAGUUGGUGGGGUAAAGGCCUACCAAGGCGACGAUCUGUAGCGGGUCUGAGAGGAUGAUCCGCCACACUGGGACUGAGACACGGCCCAGACUCCUACGGGAGGCAGCAGUGGGGAAUAUUGGACAAUGGGGGGAACCCUGAUCCAGCCAUGCCGCGUGUGUGAAGAAGGCCUUAUGGUUGUAAAGCACUUUAAGCGAGGAGGAGGCUACUGAGACUAAUACUCUUGGAUAGUGGACGUUACUCGCAGAAUAAGCACCGGCUAACUCUGUGCCAGCCGCCGCAGUAA
rnacentral:rRNA from 1 species